UACGUAGGGCGCAAGCGUUGUCCGGAAUCAUUGGGCGUAAAGAGCUCGUAGGUGGUCUGUUACGUCUGCUGUGAAAACCUAGGGCUUAACCCUGGGCCUGCAGUGGAUACGGGCAGACUAGAGGUAGGUAGGGGAGAAUGGAAUUCCCGGUGUAGCGGUGAAAUGCGCAGAUAUCAGGAGGAACACCGGUGGCGAAGGCGGAUCUCUGGGCCGAUACUGACGCUGAGGAGCGAAAGCGUGGGGAGCGAACAGG
rnacentral:rRNA from 1 species